GGUACCGUCAGGCCUAACGUGUAUUAUACGUUAGGAGGUUCUUCCCCUCUGACAGAGCUUUACGACCCAAGAGCCUUCAUCACUCACGCGGUAUUGCUGCGUCAGGCUUUCGCCCAUUGCGCAAAAAUUCCCC
rnacentral:rRNA from 1 species